UGCAGGCCUAGUGGUUUGAGCAUUUGACUAUGACUUUGGAGGUCAUGGUUCAAAUCCCUGCUCUGCCA